rnacentral:rRNA from 1 species
GAUGAACGCUGGCGGCGUGCCUAAUACAUGCAAGUCGAGCGAACAGAUGAGGAGCUUGCUCCUCUGACGUUAGCGGCGGACGGGUGAGUAACACGUGGAUAACCUACCUAUAAGACUGGGAUAACUUCGGGAAACCGGAGCUAAUACCGGAUAAUAUAUUGAACCGCAUGGUUCAAUAGUGAAAGACGGUUUUGCUGUCACUUAUAGAUGGAUCCGCGCCGCAUUAGCUAGUUGGUAAGGUAACGGCUUACCAAGGCAACGAUGCGUAGCCGAACUGAGAGGGUGAUCGGCCACCCUGGAACGGAGACACGGUCCAGACUCCUACGGGACGCAGCAGUCGGGAAUCUUACGCAAUGGGCGAAAGCCUGACGGAGCAACGCCGCGUGAGUGAUGAAGGUCUUCGGAUCGUAAAACUCUGUUAUUAGGGAAGAACAAAUGUGUAAGUAACUAUGCACGUCUUGACGGUACCUAAUCAGAAAGCCACGGCUAACUACGUG